rnacentral:rRNA from 1 species
GACGAACGCUGGCGGCGUGCUUAACACAUGCAAGUCGAACGAUGAACUUGGAGCUUGCUCUGGGGGAUUAGUGGCGAACGGGUGAGUAACACGUGAGUAACCUGCCCUGGACUCUGGGAUAACUUCGAGAAAUCGGAGCUAAUACCGGAUAGGACCCGGCACCGCAUGGUGUGGGGUGGAAAGGUUUUCGGUUUGGGAUGGACUCGCGGCCUAUCAGCUUGUUGGUGAGGUAAUGGCUCACCAAGGCGUCGACGGGUAGCCGGCCUGAGAGGGUGACCGGCCACACUGGGACUGAGACACGGCCCAGACUCCUACGGGAGGCAGCAGUGGGGAAUAUUGCACAAUGGGCGCAAGCCUGAUGCAGCAACGCCGCGUGCGGGAUGACGGCCUUCGGGUUGUAAACCGCUUUUAGUAGGGAAGAAGCCUUCGGGUGACGGUACCUGCAGAAAAAGGACCGGCUAACUACGUGCCAGCCGCCGCCGUAAUAC